rnacentral:rRNA from 1 species
UACGGGGGGGGCAAGCGUUGUUCGGAAUUACUGGGCGUAAAGGGCUCGUAGGUGGCCAACUAAGUCAGACGUGAAAUCCCCAGGCUCAACUUGGGAACUGCGUCUGAUACUGGAUGGCUUGAAUUCGGGAGAGGGAUGCAGAAUUCCAGGUGUAGCGGUGAAAUGUGUAGAUAUCUGGAGGAAUACCGGUGGCGAAGGCGGCAUCCUGGACCGAGAUUGACACUGAUGAGCGAAAGCUAGGGGAGCAAACGGG